ensembl:lncRNA
CGGAACCCCGCCCGCGCUGGCGCCGCGAUGCGGCUCUGGUACUGAUGAUGCCGCCGGGUUGGGUGUAAGAGCCGAUGCGGACCUUUCUGGCGUCGGCCCCGCCUCUCCGUGAGGUCACGGCGGUAAUUCCCUCUCUGGGACCGGACCACUUUACCCUGAGAGGGCUCACAGCGUCAGGGGCAAGACAGGCUGAACCCGGUAACUCUGUCAGAUAAGGCUGCCCCGAACGUGCCAGUUACCUGUUUAUCUCCUCUGGCCCGCACGCUCAGAUUCCCGGGCUCCGGGGAGGCUCGCAUGGACGAACAAACAUUCAAGGGAAGAGCUGUGUCCGUUUCCCAUCCACCAAGUACUGAAGAGGAAAAGCUAAAAUUUUACAUCACCUCCUGUUCCUUCAGCCUCUGCAACCCAGCCUGCUCCUUGCCAAGCCUGCAUCACAUUGGCCUCAGAAAGCGGGGGCUCACAAUACUAGGGACCGGAGCGUAUCUCAUUCACCCUUGUCCUGCUCCUUGCAGUUGCCCAGCCCCUGCAAACCUGCAAACCCGCUUCAUCAUGCCUGUCUGUGUCAUAAAAAUUCUGUACCCCUUUGUUCGGGGCUCACAGUUGCCGUGUUAACUCCUCUGGGCCCGCUGGUGUAAUAAGCCUGAGCUCUCCAACUCUCCGAGUGUGGUGCUUGUCUGUCGAGCACUGGUGUCUGCAGCAGGAUGAGAUGAGGACGCUGACCCCACAAGGCCUGCUGGGAGGGCUGAGGUUGCAGAAGCCCGCCCUGAGCCAAGCACCUCCAGGGAGCCGCGCCCAGGUACCCCUGCAGCCUGGAGAAACCUGCAUCUCCGGAUCUGGUGGGUGGUCCCCAAGAGCGGCCUCCAGGUCUUCCCCCCGCUCUUCAGGGGUGAUUGCCCAGAGCUCUGGCAACUGAGGACCACCUCUGUCUGUACUGCCCAGGGAGGCUUCCCAUCCUCCAGGCGGGCUGCAGGCUUAGGGCGUCUCCAUGGUGCUUAUGCUUCCAGACUGCCAUCCAGGUGUGUGAGCCUCAGUUACUCACACGGCUCAGCUCACCCCAUCCCCAAAGACACGAAAAUGCAACAGGGGGAAACAGCUCAGGCGUUUAGGCGUAACCUCCCCUGCUCGGCUGGGACCCUGGGGUCCCCGGAGGCCAGCGGGCCGCAGGCUGCAGGCGAGAGCUGGGGUUCAGGAGGCCGUGCCGCAGGCAGCCCGCACCGUUGCAGGCGAUGCUGCUCAGCCGCCCCUUCUGAACUUGGAGUCACCAGCCCGGUGCGCUACUCCACGGCAGAGGCUCCAGAUCACCUCUCAGAGCCCGCAGAUGGGAAACGUGAGAAGGCGCCAAUCUCCAAGCCAAGGAGAGGGUCCUCACCGGAAACCCAACCAGCCAGGACCCCGAUCUUGAACUCCAGACUCCAGGACUGGAAGGAGAUGAAUGUCUACUGUUCGAACAGCCCGUGCAGGCAUGCUCAGUCGCUUCAGUCGUGGUCGAUUCUUUGUGACCCCACGGACUGUGGCCCGCCAGGCUCCUCUGUCCAUGGGAUUCUCUAGUCAAGAAUGCUGGAGUGGGGUGCCAUUCCCUUCUCCAGGGGAUCUUCCUGACCCAGGGCUCGAACCUGGAUCUCCUGCACUGCAGACGGAUUCCUUAUCCACCAAACCGCUGGGGAAGCCCUCAAACCACCAGUCUGGGGCAUUUUGCGCCAUGGCCUGCGCUGAGACAGCGUCCAUCUCACCCGGAGCGGAUCCGCAGGCUGUUCACAGCCGCCUCCCCAGCUCCCGUCAUAC